CAAAAGCAGCUCAAGUGGUUCAGUCAGAUGAUAUAGCGGAGACAAAGAAAGAUAAAGAUGGUUCAACCUCUGAGGCAGAGAAGCUUUCUUCAAACUUGCUUGAUACAGACAAAACCGUGAAACCUAGAAAAG